CGGGGAUAAGGAAAAAGCAUUGCCUUCGGCACUGCGCUGCUUCGCCGCGAGAAGUAUUAUGACGUCAUUAUUCACAGUUGAAUAGCAACUGUUAGAUAUCAUCCUUGAUUUACUUGACCUUGGCCAGCUUUGCGCAAGUAAUUGCCGCCCGGCACAUUGCGCUGAUUGCGCUAGUGUGGAGUUGGUGUGUGGAGUGCGGUAGCGAUUUGCGGUAACUGUAACUUUUGUAAACGCAACAUUCAAUGCUCAAGACAUUAUGGGAGCCAAGCCAAAAAAGUUCUCCAACUCUGCCACAAAAUGGGACAAGCAUGCUUGGUUGGCAACAUCUCAGCACAAAGAUACAAGUCUGGCAACCUUUGUGUCUCCAAUAUGUGAUAUAAAAAUAGCUGCUUGUAAAGCUGGGCUGCACAGUAUUUCUUGGGAGAUGGGAGACCCCUGUGAUGAGUUAAAGGCGAGGUAAUUCUACUUGCAGGUCUGGUUUUUAUACCAAAUCACACUUUAUUUUUGAGGGAUUGUUUUGACUACUUAUCUAUCCUAGUGCUAAUGUAGUCCACGAAUUGAAUUGUGUUUGUUAGAGAUUUUAAUGCUUAGCGUGAUGAUGGUACCGAACUAAACUCUAGGAUAUGUGAUACAAUAUGCGAGGAUAAUGACCAGAACUAAAGUACGGCUGUAUUUUUAUUAAUUCAAUGCCGUCAAAGCGGUCAUUUUAUUUAUAUGCCGCCCAAUGCCCUUGGCCGACAUAGAUAAGGCAUUGUGUACCUUGUAAGUGUUGACAACAUUCUUGCUGCUGGUCACUGGUCACUUCUGGGAAGGCCAUUUGAUCUGUUUGGCCAGGGAUGGGUCCGGUAUUAUGUGUAAUUGGCAGGUUCCCCCGAAUAAGUAUGUUCUGGAUUGCAGGGAAGUCUGGGGAGACGUGACCAGCCACAGCGGACCGGACUGCCAGCACAUCGAGGAGGCCGCACAGUGGCUGAGGUCGUUCUUCAGGAACCCCCACCAACGGACGCCGGCGCCGAAGCUUUGCUAUGGUCAAGUUAAAGCGGUGUCGUGUAUACCAAUAUGGGAAAAAUUGAAGGAUGAAGUUGGUCCCGGUGAAACCAUCUCCUAUGGUCAACUGGCGGCGCUGUGUGGAAAUCCAAAAGCCAGCCGGCACGUCGGCUACGCGAUGGGCCACAACAGCUUCGGACUGGUGGUGCCGUGCCACCGCGUGGUGACGGCCGGCGGGGCGCUGGGCAACUACUGCCGCGGCCGCAAGAACCCGCUCAAGGUGUGGCUGCACGAGCACGAGCGGGCGCCGCCGUCAGCCGAGCCGGCCAAACGGUGAACGCCGGCGAGCGGGAUACUGGUCUCCGUCAGAGGCAAAUCGUCACCCAUCAGACACGCCGAUUGGACCCGAAGGCACAAAAUGUGUUGGUCCGCUAACGUGAAGCGAUGUGUGCUGUGGAACGUGUAUUAUUGUGAUAUUCACGUGUAUUGUGUGCGCUGUGACCAGAUGUGCCAUUGCUGCUGCUCUUGUAAAGGCUAAGAUACAACGUGUUUCACUUUUGAAAGAAGGCUUUUGUUUAAUACAUAAUUUUAUGAAA
rnacentral:misc_RNA from 1 species